AUAAAAUUCUAUUAAUUAAUCUCUAUUUCUUCAUGUGGAAGAAAAAUUUAGCUAAAUUAUUUUCUCGGAAGGUUAUAAAAAUAAGAAUCGCGCCAAAAACAAGAUGCCAACGCAAGUGUUAGCAACUUCGUGGACACGAUGGACGGCAUCUUUCAGCGAACGCCUGAAACGCUCAGAAAUUGCUCAACGAGAUUGCAUUAAAUGGCUUUCGCUAACAGUGUCUAAACAACAAGAAGGACAAUCGUAAUAGACGGUUCGAGAGUAACUUGAGAAAACGCGUGCCAAAGUUUACGACGGUACGAGCAACGGUAUAAAACCUAUUUCUGGUGAUAAAGAUGGAACAACUAUCUAACGGGUUUAAAGGAAAUGAAAAGGAAAGAAAAAACAAAAAGAAAACAAAAAGAAAAUUGACCAACUAAAAGGACGUUGCUCGCUGUAACAAUGAGGAAAGAUGAAAGAAAAAAAAAAAGAAA